GAUGAACGCUGGCGGCGUGCCUAAUACAUGCAAGUCGAGCGAACAGACGCGGAGCUUGCUCCUCUGACGUUAGCGGCGGACGGGUGAGUAACACGUGGAUACCCUACCUAUAAGACUGGGAUAACUUCGGGACACCGGAGCUAAUACCGGAUAAUAUAUUGAACCGCAUUGUUCAAUAGUGAAAGACGGUUUUGCUGUCUCUUAUAGCUGGAUCCGCGCCGCAUUAGCUAGUUGGUAAGGUAACGGCUUACCAAGGCAACGAUGCGUAGCCGACCUGAGAGGGUGAUCGGCCACACUGGAACUGAGACACGGUCCAGACGCCUGCGGGAGGCAGCAGUAGGGAAUCUUCCGCAAUGGGCGAAAGCCUGACGGAGCGACGCCGCGUGAGUGAUGAAGAUCUUCGGAGCGUAAAGCUCUGUUAUUAGGGGAGAACAAAUGUGUAAGUAACUAUGCACGUCUUGACGGUACCUAGUCAGAAAGCCACGGCUAACUACGUG
rnacentral:rRNA from 1 species